UACGUAGGGACCAAGCGUUGUUCGGAUUUACUGGGCGUAAAGGGCGCGUAGGCGGCGUGACAAGUCACUUGUGAAAUCUCCGGGCUUAACUCGGAACGGCCAAGUGAUACUGUCGUGCUAGAGUGCAGAAGGGGCAAUCGGAAUUCUUGGUGUAGCGGUGAAAUGCGUAGAUAUCAGGAGGAACACCAAUUGCGAAGGCAGCUCGCUGGGACGUUACUGACGCUGAGACGCGAAAGCGUGGGGAGCAAACAGG
rnacentral:rRNA from 1 species